rnacentral:rRNA from 1 species
AGUCACUGACAUUAGCUACCCCCGUAGUCCAGGGUGUAAACGCUGCAGACUUGGUGUUGGAAGCCCUUUGGGGGCAUUCAGUGCCGGAGAGAAGUUGUUAAGUCUGCUACUUGGGAGUACGUCCGCAAGGAUGAAACUUAAAGGAAUUGGCGGGGGAGCACCGCAACGGGAGGAGCGUGCGGUUUAAUUGGAUUCAACACCGUAAACUCACCAGGGAAGACUGUUACAUGAAGGCCGAGAUGAAGACUCUGCUAGAUUUUCAG